CGUGUAGGCGGCUAUCUAAGUCUGAUGUGAAAGCCCUGGGCUCAACUCAGGAAGUGCAUUGGAUACUGGAUAGCUGGAGUACCGGAGAGAGGGUGGAAUUCCUGGUGUAGCGGUGAAAUGCGUAGAUAUCAGGAGGAACACCGGUGGCGAAGGCGUCCCUCUGGCCGGAUACUGACGCUGAGACGCGAAAGCGUGGGGAGCAAACA
rnacentral:rRNA from 1 species